rnacentral:rRNA from 1 species
GUYUUUUUGUUAAAAAUUUAAAGUCGGGCCUGCCCACUGAAAUUUUAAAUGGCCGUGGUAUUUUGACCAUGCUAAGGUAGCAUAAUCAUUAGUUUUUUAAUUGAAAGCUGGAAUGAAAGGUUUGAUAAAAAAAUGACUGUCUCUAUUUAAUUUUAUUAAAACUUUAUUUUUAAGUUCAAAAGCUUAAUUUUAAUUAAAAGACGAGAAGACCCUAUAGAGUUUAAUAAUUUAAUAUAAUUUGUAUUUUAGAAUUAAUUUAUAAAUUUUAAAUAUUAUUUAAUUGGGGUGAUUGAAAAAUUUAAUUAACUUUUUUUAUAUUUAACCAUUAAUUUAUGAUAAUUUGAUCCAAUUUUUUUGAUUAUAAGAUAAAAUUACCUUAGGGAUAACAGCGUAAUUUUUUUAGAAAGUUCAAAUUAAAAGAAAAGAUUGCGACCUCGAUGUUGGAUUAAAAUUAAAUUUUGGUGUAGAAGCUAAAAAUUUUAAGUCUGUUCGACUUUUAAAAUUUUACA